UGCAGUCGAGCGGACUGAUGUGGAGCUUGCUCCAUGGAUGUCAGCGGCGGACGCGUGAGUAACACGUGGGUAACCUGCCUGGCAGACUGGGAUAACGCUUGGAAACGAGUGCUAAUACCGGAUGAUCUCUUGGACUGCAUGGUUCGAGAGUAAAAGGAGCUUUUGCUUCACUGCCAGAUGGACCCGCGGCGCAUUAGCUAGUUGGUGAGGUAACGGCUCACCAAGGCGACGAUGCGUAGCCNACCUGAGAGGGUGACCGGCCACACUGGGACUGANACACGGCCCAGACUCCUACGGGAGGCAGCAGUAGGGAAUCUUCCGCAAUGGGCGCAAGCCUGACGGAGCAACGCCGCGUGAGUGAUGAAGGCCUUCGGGUUGUAAAACUCUGUCUUCUGUGAAGAACCAUCCUGUGCAGAGAAAGCUCANGACCUGACGGUAACAGAGGAGGAAGCCCCGGCUAACUACGUGCCAGCAGCCGCGGUAAUACGUAGGGGGCAAGCGUUGUCCGGAUUCACUGGGCGUAAAGCGCGCGCAGGCGGUCUCUCACGUCCGGGGUGAAAGCCCAGAGCUCAACUCUGGGAUUGCCUUGGAUACGGGGAGACUUGAGGAUCGGAGAGGCAAGGGGAAUUCCACGUGUAGCGGUGAAAUGCGUAGAGAUGUGGAGGAACACCUGUGGCGAAGGCGCCUUGCUGGCCGAUUUCUGACGCUGAGGCGCGAAAGCGUGGGGAGCAAACAGGAUUAGAUACCCUGGUAGUCCACGCCGUAAACGAUGAGUGCUAGGUGUUAGGGGGCCCACCCCUUAGUGCCGAAGCUAACGCAUUAAGCACUCCGCCUGGGGAGUACGGUCGCAAGACUGAAACUCAAAGGAAUUGACGGGGGCCCGCACAAGCAGUGGAGCAUGUGGUUUAAUUCGAAGCAACGCGAAGAACCU
rnacentral:rRNA from 1 species